GAUCGCAAACUGAAGGACCCAAAGACAGCAGGUGCUAACCGCUUAAUAUCCUGCCGAGGCCAUCUUUCAGGAAGAGAAAAGUCAAAAAAAGUAAACGCAUUCGCUUGCCUCUUUACUUUUUCCCUGCACUUUGACUUCCUCAAGAUUAAACCCCGGCACUGUUGUCGGGGUUUUUUAAUGAGUUGU
rfam:Desertifilum sp. IPPAS B-1220 NODE_4_length_194086_cov_34.7704, whole genome shotgun sequence.